GAAGGUGUCGACCACGGGACAUCUACCCUGACCGACGGCGUCGUGGUACCACUGCCACGCCUCCGGGUUGAUGGGCUCACCAACAGUACCCAGAAUCUUCAGGCUGGAGAGGUCGUACCUGGUAGAGACAGACUCACCAGGACACUUGUGGCGCCGUUUGCAAGGGGGCCGUAGGUGAUGUAGGAGUGGCCGGUGAUCCAGCCGAUGUCGGCGGUGCACCAGUACACGUCGUCAUGGUGAUAGUCGAAAACGUACUUGAACGUCAGUGACGUGUAGAGCAGAUACCCGGCAACAGUGUGGAGGACGCCCUGUACCGCGCACAAGGACGGAGACAUGAAGGAGGAGCCGGACCUACUUCUCCCUGCACUUCUCCAGAGCCUCAUCCGCAAUCUGUUUCAGGUUGAUGAGCUUCUCUCCUCUGUAAACACCGUCUGUAUAUUACAGAGGGAUGGAGGGAGAGAUGAUGUAAACCAGCAGGGAGAGGCGUAUUUAAACAC